UCAUGAAUGAUGCCUUUGCGCAUGCGCAAUGCCCAACAAAAUGGCAGCGCCCAUGGUCUUAAUUCUGUACAUCCUUCUCGCAGUCGUUUGAAGAUUAAAAAGUCCUUGCAGCGCCAUCCUGCGAUGAAAACAUUUGAGUGUUCCAGAUUUCUGUAGCAGAACCCUGCCUGGCGGAGGGAAGGUGAAAUAUAAGAUUAUUUGUUCCCGUCAGAGUCAAAAACGCAUUUACGGCAUGAAGGUGAACCACGUCGUAGGGACAAGCUUGCAUGAGUGAAAGGUAAUUAUAAAUUGAUAUUUCCUUACGUAGUUGAAUUUUAUAAUCCCUUUGUUCCAAAAAUGUCAUUCAUGCUAAAUUACAGCAUGGAUGGAGAGUGAACUGAUGGGCUAGCUGCACAUGCGAGUAAUAUAAAGCCCAAAGUCCUUUGCAGCUAUAUAGAGUCCAAGCUCAGUGGUUCUAAGAUGCUCUCUGGUGCAAUCUUAGCAGUUGUUUUUGAAGAAUUCACAAACAAAGUUCAUCACCGUUUUUUUAAAUGAAUUUGGUUGAGAAGGAUUCUAAUUUUCUUUUACUUUAUAACCCAUCGCUAUGAAGUUUUAACCUGUCGCUGAUUUUCAAACAUCUACUUUCAAAAUUCAAACCUAUCGCCUUUACUUGUCAAAACCCCUUGUGGAUAAUAAUAAUGAUAAUAUAGGCAUUUCUAUAGCGUUGUCUAGAAAUUCUA